rnacentral:lncRNA from 1 species
UCUCUCUGUUUGGCUUACCUCUCUCUCAUUCAUCCCGCCGUAACCUAGCGGCGAUCUAGCCGUUCUCUGGUCGGAUCUCCGACUAAUCUAUCCAUACCUAUUAUCCUUCCCUCUCCUCUCUCUCUAGCUACCUGUAACCAUUUCAAAAACAAAACAAAAAACAAGCAUCUACAAAAAAGCGAAAAAAUUUCUAGGGUUUCUGCGGUGUGUUUUGUUGUAAGUUGAAUUUUUAUCUGAGUUUCCCUUCUAUCUAUCUAUUAAGAUUUGAAAUAAGAAGGGGGAGAGGGAAGUUACAAAAGCAAAAAAAAGAGAAAAAUACCUGGAAAAGAGAAAAUUUUUGCUAGGGUUUUGAGAUGGCGGCGCAAGUUCUUCAACCUCAACCGGUGAACGGUGGUGCUGCAUCUGGCGGCAACGCUCAGCAGUUUGUCCCAACGUCGUUGUAUGUCGGUGAUUUGGAGAUGAACGUCACCGAUUCGCAACUGUUUGAGCUGUUUAGCCAGCUAGGUCAGGUGGUUUCGGUUCGAGUUUGCAGGGAUUUGUCUACUCGACGAUCUCUUGGCUAUGGCUAUGUCAACUAUGUGAACCCACAGGAUGGUUAGUUCCGCCGAAAUCUAUUUUCUUUAGUGCAAUGUGUAUAAUCUGUCUAACUUGCUAGCGUUUCGCUUUCUUCUGAUAGUACUUGAUUUCAAUUAGCAAUAAUGGUAGCUGAAAAUCAAAUCGAAUAUGCAAAUAAGUAACUGGAUUCGUUUUUGAUGAAGACGAAAUUAAAAACCUAGAAUAUAGAUGCAUUGUGUGAACUGUUUCGAUUGAUCUUCAAGAUUUAUGUCUCAAACUCCAUUUGUUAUGUUAAUGACAGCUGCAAGGGCGAUAGAGGUGCUGAACUUCACACCUCUCAAUGGAAAGGCUGUUAGGAUAAUGUAUUCCCAUCGUGAUCCCAGUGUACGCAAGAGUGGAUCUGGGAAUAUAUUUAUCAAGGUAUUUUUAAACUUCAAAAUCUAUCUAACUAUACGUUUAUUGUCUUCAUUACUGAUUGAUCUCUUGUUUGUUUCUUGAAUGUCACAGAAUUUGGACAAGGCAAUUGACCAAAAAGCACUUCAUGACACCUUCUCUACAUUUGGCAACAUCCUUUCUUGCAAGAUUGCUACUGACAUGACUGGUCAAUCAAAGGGCUAUGGAUUUGUGCAGUAUGACACUGAGGAAGCUGCACAACAAGCCAUUGAGAAGCUGAAUGGCAUGCUUCUGAAUGACAAGCAAGUGUUUGUAGGCCCCUUCCUACGUAAGCAAGAAAGAGAAUUGGCUGUUGACAAGAGCAAAUUCACUAAUGUCUUUGUUAAGAACCUGUCUGAAUCAACAACAGAUGAUGACUUAAACAAAGCAUUCAGUGAAUACGGAACAAUCACAAGUGCAGUUGUGAUGAGGGAUGCAGAAGGCAACUCCAAAUGCUUUGGUUUUGUCAACUUUGAAAAUGCUGAAGAUGCUGCAAAAGCUGUAGAUGGUCUUAAUGGACAGAAGUUUGAUGAUAAAGAAUGGUAUGUUGGAAAAGCCCAGAAAAAGAAU